rnacentral:rRNA from 1 species
UAGAGUUUGAUCAUGGCUCAGGAUAAACGCUGGCGGCGUGCCUAACACAUGCAAGUCGAACGAUCCCGCAAGGGAGAGUGGCGGAAGGGUGAGUAACACGUGGGAAUCUACCUCCUCGCAGGGAACAACCUCUCGAAAGAGAGGCUAAUACCCAAAAGGGUCAGAAAUGAUCAGAGUCGAAAGGCGUGAGGAGAGGAGCCCGCGGCCCAUCAGCUAGUUGGUGAGGUAAUGGCUUACCAAGGCUACGACGGGUAGGGGAUCUGAGAGGAUGUCCCCCACACUGGAACUGAAACACGGUCCAGACGCCUACGGGUGGCAGCAGUGAGGAAUAUUGGACAAUGGGCGAAAGCCCGAUCCAGCAACGCCGCGUGGAGGAUGAAGGCCUUCGGGUCGUAAACUUCUAUAGAGGGAGACGAGAAAGGACGGUAUCCCUAGAAUAAGCGACAGCGGACUACGUGCCAGCAGCCGCGGUAAUA